UCCAACUUAUCGCUGGCGGUCUCCUGCGAGUUCCCAACUAAAUGAUGGCAACACAGGACAAGGGUUGCGCUCGUUGCGGGACUUAACCCAACAUCUCACGACACGAGCUGACGACAGCCAUGCAGCACCUAUACUACGGCCUUUUAAGGGGAGAUCUGCUUUCACAGACUGUCCGUAGCACUUCGAGCCCAGGUAAGGUUCUUCGCGUUGCGUCGAAUUGAACCACAUGCUCCACCGCUUGUGCGGGCCCCCGUCAAUUCCUUUGAGUUUCAGCCUUGCGACUGUACUCCCCAGGCGGCAUAUUUAACGCGUUAGCUCCGGCACAGACAGAAUGAACUGCCUACACCAAAUAUGCAUCGUUUAGGGCGUGGACUAC
rnacentral:misc_RNA from 1 species